UGAUCUAUUCAACACAGUUCAAUCUACAAACCAGGAACAUUCCCUUUAUUCAACAUGCUGGACCUGGAUUACUGGAUGGUUUAUGGGUUGAUUCUAACCAUUACAACACGUGUCGACUGUGAAGAACUGAGUCCAGUCAAGAAUGAAGAGUCCAGUUUAGAAGGAAACUCUGUUACUCUCACAUAUAAAUACUCUCAACAAAUGUCUAGUGUUUAUUCUUUCUUCUGGUAUCGACAAUAUCCAGGAAAACCACCAGAGCUCCUGAUCUCACAUUCAUCCUCAGGAUCAAAAGAAAUUGAAAAUGUUUCUGGACUGAAGAUUAAUGUGGAGAAAAACCUCAUCUCUAUGAGCAUCUCCUCUGCUGCAGUGUCAGACUCUGCUGUGUACUACUGUGCUGUGAGGCCCACAGUGACAGGAAACAGCUAAACUCUGAACAAAAACCUCUGGAGCAAAGACAACACAGUACUACACAACAUCCACUAGAGGGUGACAUCAUCAGGUCGGUGCUGCGUGACUUGUGCACUUCGUUCAACCAUUCAGUCAAUAAUAACUGCUGCUGUGCAGAGAACAGUUCUCACACUGAAUGUUGAACAUCAGCCACUUUGUCCUGUUGAUUUCAACCUUGUCGUACAGAUGGAACAUUGGCUGUGGAUUCUUCUCACUGCUCUGGGCUUUGGUAACACAACAUCUGGACAUGGUUUUAGACAGUAUUGGAAAGCUGAAAUUUGUCAAAAUUAUUUCACUUUCAAAUGUUCUUCAUCUCCU